rnacentral:rRNA from 1 species
UACAGGGGGUGCAAACGUUGCUCGGAAUUAUUGGGCGUAAAGCGCGCGUAGGCGGCUACUUAAGUCGGAUGUGAAAGCCCUUGGCUCAACUGAGGAAGUGCACCCGAAACUGAGUGGCUUGAGUACUAAAGAGGGUCGCGGAAUUCCCGGUGUAGAGGUGAAAUUCGUAGAUAUCGUAAGGAAGACCAGUGGCGAAGGCGAGUCUCUGGACAGCAACUGACGCUGAGGAGCGAAAGCGUGGGGAGCGAACAGG